AGUCCAAGAAUAUUAGUCAAUGCUCGAAAGAGUGAACUAGCUAACUGAAAUCUUCAGUGUGUCACUGGAGAUAACGUAAAGUAUAAUAAUGAUAUUACUUUACUAUUAGUGUUGUCAAAGUACUCGUGCCAGAAGACUCGGUAAGGCGGGAGACACAAACGUUAGUAGUCUUAAACAGGCGUAAAGGAUUUGUAGGCGGCUUUUUUAAAUAAAAAGCUAGAAUCAAGAAGAGGUUAUAUUAUAUACGAAUUUAUAGAGUAAGUUUGAUAGCUGUAGAUCCUAUAAAGAGUGUUAGCGGCGAAGGCAUUUUUCCAAUACUGAUUGACGCUGAGAAAUGAAGGUAAGGAUAGAAAAAAGGAUUAGAGACCCUUGUAUCCCUUACUGUCAACUAUGAAUGGUAAUUACUAGAAUUAACAUUUUCUAGAAAUAAGGUUAACGCGUAGAACCAUUCCGCCUUGUGAGUACGGUUGCAAAACUGAAAACAAAAUAAUUAGUCGGUUUCGGAGCAAACGGAGUGAAGCAUGUUAUUUAAUUCGAUAAA
rnacentral:rRNA from 1 species